rnacentral:lncRNA from 1 species
CGUUGACAUCAGCCCUGUCGCUGGCACACUACUCUCAGACCCCUAGUGAGAGGCUUCUCAGCGCUUUGAGAGCCACAGACGAGUCCCCAUGGACAUAAAGAAGCUGGAGUUUGAAGAGGUGGAAUCACUUGUCCAGGGUUACUCAGCCAGACAAGGACCAGAACCAGUGCUUGGGUGUUUCACCUCCAAGUCCAGCCACCUUUCCACUACAUCACGAGGUGCCUCGGACAGAGCACCCGGUUAGGAGGUCCUCCCAGCAGGGAGGUCGUAGGGCGGUGGCUUUGGGUAUAGGAGGAGAUGUCGUGAGCUAAGAUGAGGGUGCCUGUCUCAGGGGCGCAGCUCUAAAAGCAUCGUGGCAGGCGCGCCAGCGAGUUAGCCAUGAGGUCAGGAGCAGCACGAUGUCAGUCCUGGCAGACGUGUGGAGCAUGGAGCCACACGGAGACUUGAGUUCAAAGCGAAGUCUCAGCAGAUGUGGGUAGAGCAGAGAGUCAGCCUGGCCUGGCGGCCACCGUAACAGGAUUCUGGUCCUGGAAGCCUCACUUUGGGACUUUGGGUCAGUCAUUUAAACUCUUUGAGCCUCA